rnacentral:rRNA from 1 species
AAAUUGAAGAGUUUGAUCAUGGCUCAGAUUGAACGCUGGCGGCAGGCCUAACACAUGCAAGUCGAGCGGUAGCACAGAGAGCUUGCUCUCGGGUGACGAGCGGCGGACGGGUGAGUAAUGUCUGGGAAACUGCCUGAUGGAGGGGGAUAACUACUGGAAACGGUAGCUAAUACCGCAUAACGUCGCAAGACCAAAGUGGGGGACCUUCGGGCCUCAUGCCAUCAGAUGUGCCCAGAUGGGAUUAGCUAGUAGGUGGGGUAACGGCUCACCUAGGCGACGAUCCCUAGCUGGUCUGAGAGGAUGACCAGCCACACUGGAACUGAGACACGGUCCAGACUCCUACGGGAGGCAGCAGUGGGGAAUAUUGCACAAUGGGCGCAAGCCUGAUGCAGCCAUGCCGCGUGUGUGAAGAAGGCCUUCGGGUUGUAAAGCACUUUCAGCGGGGAGGAAGGCGGUGAGGUUAAUAACCUCACCGAUUGACGUUACCCGCAGAAGAAGCACCGGCUAACUCCGUGCCAGCAGCCGCGGUAAUACGGAGGGUGCAAGCGUUAAUCGGAAUUACUGGGCGUAAAGCGCACGCAGGCGGUCUGUCAAGUCGGAUGUGAAAUCCCCGGGCUCAACCCGGGAACUGCAUUCGAAACUGGCAGGCUAGAGUCUUGUAGAGGGGGUAGAAUUCCAGGUGUAGCGGUGAAAUGCGUAGAGAUCUGGAGGAAUACCGGUGGCGAAGGCGGCCCCCUGGACAAAGACUGACGCUCAGGUGCGAAAGCGUGGGGAGCAAACAGGAUUAGAUACCCUGGUAGUCCACGCUGUAAACGAUGUCGAUUUGGAGGUUGUGCCCUUGAGGCGUGGCUUCCGGAGCUAACGCGUUAAAUCGACCGCCUGGGGAGUACGGCCGCAAGGUUAAAACUCAAAUGAAUUGACGGGGGCCCGCACAAGCGGUGGAGCAUGUGGUUUAAUUCGAUGCAACGCGAAGAACCUUACCUGGUCUUGACAUCCACAGAACUUAGCAGAGAUGCUUUGGUGCCUUCGGGAACUGUGAGACAGGUGCUGCAUGGCUGUCGUCAGCUCGUGUUGUGAAAUGUUGGGUUAAGUCCCGCAACGAGCGCAACCCUUAUCCUUUGUUGCCAGCGGUUAGGCCGGGAACUCAAAGGAGACUGCCAGUGAUAAACUGGAGGAAGGUGGGGAUGACGUCAAGUCAUCAUGGCCCUUACGACCAGGGCUACACACGUGCUACAAUGGCAUAUACAAAGAGAAGCGACCUCGCGAGAGCAAGCGGACCUCAUAAAGUAUGUCGUAGUCCGGAUUGGAGUCUGCAACUCGACUCCAUGAAGUCGGAAUCGCUAGUAAUCGUAGAUCAGAAUGCUACGGUGAAUACGUUCCCGGGCCUUGUACACACCGCCCGUCACACCAUGGGAGUGGGUUGCAAAAGAAGUAGGUAGCUUAACCUUCGGGAGGGCGCUUACCACUUUGUGAUUCAUGACUGGGGUGAAGUCGUAACAAGGUAACCGUAGGGGAACCUGCGGUUGGAUCACCUCCUUA